UACGGGGGGGGCAAGCGUUGUUCGGAAUUACUGGGCGUAAAGGGCUCGUAGGCGGCCAACUAAGUCAGACGUGAAAUCCCUCGGCUUAACCGGGGAACUGCGUCUGAUACUGGAUGGCUUGAGUUUGGGAGAGGGAUGCGGAAUUCCAGGUGUAGCGGUGAAAUGCGUAGAUAUCAGGAGGAACACCGGUGGCGAAGGCGGUUCUCUGGGCCUUACCUGACGCUGAGGAGCGAAAGCGUGGGGAGCAAACAGG
rnacentral:rRNA from 1 species